AGUAAUUGUGUGCCUGGCUCGGCAGGGAGGGUGGAGGCAAAAUUGGUAUCAAAUAAGGGUCUCAAACUGAGAUCUCGAUGUUCCAUUUAAGUUGUUGCUCAUUUUCAUUAGCCAUGCCAGGGGUGAAAAGCUUAUAACUUAAACACCCUCUGUAGUAACAACAUUUAUUUUUGAUGGAUUUAUGUUUUUCUUCUCCACAAAGCUGGAAUGAGGGUUGUAGUGGAUAUAAAUGAAGGGGUUUCUUUAUCCUCUUUUCAUUUUAUCACUUACUAAUCAGACUUCAGUUCAGACAGAUAAAAGGGAGAGAUUCUGUUGCCUAAAUGUGAGGUCUUUAAUGAGGAUGGGAGGCCCCAGGGAGGCGAAAUCCGAAGUAGAACGAUGCUGCUCUCGGUUUUCUUGUCAUUUCUUCAGUUGCUUCUUCGCCUCCCUUUUCCAAGGGGCCUAGUGAGCAGGAACUAUCCAAGGUGCUAGAAUGCUGGCCGCUUUGCCGUUCAAUGCAGACGGACUGCAGAAACAGAGAAGAAAGAUUACUGCUUAUUUCAGAAGGUAGGUUCUUUGUUUCAGAAUCCCUGAUUAAUCAGCAGCAGCAUCAACAGACUAAGGCAGCUGGAGAGGAGAGAGAGAGAAGCAGGAAGGGAGGGAGUCAGGGGCAGGGAGGGAGGGAGGGGAAAGAGAGAGAAUGGGAGAGAGAGAGCUGGUUGUCACGGGGGAGGGACGAUACCACAAGCUAGGCUGCUCUAAACCUUCUGUAUGUAAGUGGCAAUGAGAAAGAGCAUCUUUUGGGCUGAGAGGAGACAUUUAGAGAGGAUGUUUCUGAUUUUUUGUUUUCAUUUAUUGUUGUCUUCACAGAAUAUAAUCAAAUGAGGCACCUUAGCCA
rnacentral:lncRNA from 1 species